CAUUGUAACAUCUGGUUGUUAGGAUCAGUACCUAAUUUUAUCACUGUCGUCCAUAACCUAGAGCCUAGCAUGGUGCUGGGCUCAUAGUUACUUAAGUAAAACGACCUGAUUUUGCUGGAUCUGUUUCUUCUUGCGCAGCUCUUCAUGCAGCUGACAGGGAUCAUAUCAGAUGUCUGAAGGUGGCAGGUUCUGAGAAUCUGUGUCCAGAUGGCUGCUGAAGCUUCUACUUCAAGGUUCAAGGGCAGCAGUUCUCAGGAGACCCCAACACUUCACAUCUUUGGCAGGAUCUUAUUUUUGGCUCAGGUGACCAUGAACAAACACUAUGAUGUCUCCCAGCAAGUCCUUGACCUCCAGAGGCUCUGCUUUGACCCAGCCCAGGUGACUUCAAGACAGCCCCUGGGAGUACACUGGUUCUCACCUGGCCCAAGGCGAGUCCCAGGAAUUCAGGCCAAGUGAGUGGAGACUGAGUGACCUGGGGAUGAGACUCAGGGCUCCUGGAUCUGCUGAUCUCCCAUAUCCCUCCCUUCACUUCCUCCAGGCCAAGCACACAAUCCCAGAGGAAGACCUCACCCAGGCUGGUGCAGGACCCUGAGAACAUAGCCCUGACAAGAAACCCUUGAGUGUGGUCAUCUUCAUCCUCAGCAUCUUUGUUGUGUUUUUCUUCUAGUCUGAGUAGAUCCCUGUGAUUGAGCAGGUGGUUGCUUGAGGCUGGGAAGCCAACAUUUAACUGAUACUAAUCCACCCAAAGGGCACCGUAGUUCUGUGUAUUUGUCUCACUCAGAAUCCCUGAUUCUUUUUUUUUUUUUUUUUUUUUUAGUUUUUUUUUUUAAGUAAUCUCUACACCCAACAAAGGGCUGGAACUCACAACCUUGAGAUCAAGAGUCGUGUGCUCUACAGACUGAGCCAGCCAGGGUCCCCCUGAUUCUUCUGAUAAUAAAGAAUGACAUUGCAUGUUGUGUCA
rnacentral:lncRNA from 1 species